rnacentral:lncRNA from 1 species
CCUCCGGUUCUAUCAAUUUUUGCAGUCGUUGUAUUCGCGUUGUGUUCAUUGGCCGGUGAAAGGUAAGCAUCCACGUUUCCCUUCCCCUUUCAUUUCAGAUGUAUGAUUUUGUAAAGGUACUGUGGUUGAGCUCCUACUUCAUAGUACUAAUUUACAGGAUCAGUCAAGUAACUAUUUGUAUAUACUGUGCAGAUUCAGUUUCGCAUAUGGGGAUUCUAAUGUGGAUAUUUGAUUUUCAGUUCAAGUAAUUGGGUUCCUGGUUUUAUUGCCAUUUAUAUCUGUGCAUACAUCCAAUUUCUAAGCAGCAGUGGUACACAGUCAAGUCGACCAGAAGGCUUCGAUUUUCUGCUCGUCGGCGUUAGUCUGUAGUGUACUCAUCUGCCUUUUUUUCCCUGCCCCCUGUCUCCUCUAUGGCUUUCUGAAUCCUGCUGGCAUGUAGAUGGCUUAUUUGGUAUUCUGGAAGAUGUCUCUUGAUUCAUGUAAGUAUUUUUUUUGAUCAAGCUUACCAGUUAAAUUUUCAGAUGGAUCUUCAUUCUUUUCAGAUUUCACAUAUGCUCUAGCUACUCACUAGUCCAAGCUAAAUUGGUGUUUCAUAUACAGAUCCAUGUUGAAUGUGGCGUAUAGAUGAAACCAAACAAGAGGCUCAAAACUAUAUUCUAUUUGUUACAACAUUUUAUAAUGUCUAAUAUAUUCGUCAACUUAUGCAACUUUAGUUUUAUGUUUCAAAAUAUUGCAGAAACUCCAGAUGAUUAUGAGCACGCACGCACACUUUGCCGCUGGUUGGUGUGGAUUUGUGAUGCAGGAGCCUCGUCUUCACAGAGGCAGCAGGUGGGAGAAAGAUUGAUAAAGUGGUGGUGUCCGGUGGCUGGGAGGAUCACACGGUGAGCACCCUCCCCCUCCUUCAUUUUUUUGUAUGUGCCACAAAUUUCUCAUGGAUGGCUGUGAGCUUGUUAAUUAUGCUUACUUUUGGGUUCACAUGAAUAAUGCUCACGGAGAAACUUUGUUCCUUAAGUUGAUCACAUGGCUGAACAAAAUAACAUGUGACGAUAUUAUUUUAUUAAUGUACAUACAACAUAUGUUAGUUUCUCUGAAGAAAAUAACAUGUGAAGAUAUAUUUUUUAUUAAUGUAUAGCAUUGUCGACUUUGAUGAUUUGUGCCUAUCAAGUGUUAAAAUUUUAUUCAUUUUUCUUUUAUGGAAGGAAGCUAUUUUCUGUAAUGUAGCAAUAUAUUCCAAGGUUCUUUUAUUAUUGUAGAUCAUAUGUCGACUUUGCUGAUUUGUGCCUAUCAAGUGUUAAGAUUUUAUUCAUUUUUCUUUUAUGGAAGGAAGCUAUUUUCUGUAAUGUAGCAAUAUAUUCCAAGGUUCAUUUAUUAUUGUAGAUCAUAUGUCGACUUUGCUGAUUUGUGCCUAUCAAGUGUUAAGAGUUUAUUCAUUUUCCUUUUAGGAAAGGACGUUAUUUUCUGUACUGUUUACUCAUACAGAAGGGACUUUGCUGAUUUGUGCCUAUCAACUAUCCCUAUGCUUUGAAUUUAAGGAAUCAAUAUGGGCACGUAAUGUUGAGAAGAAGUGGAAGCGUCAAGAUUUACAAUUUUGAAUAUUCCUAAUAGUUGUAUAUAUAGUUUUAUAUUUUGCAAAAAAUACAUGUAGUUUGUAUACUUUCAUCUGUGUAUCAACACUAGCUAGAGCAGGUAAUGACUUUAGAUAGGAACUGGUCUCCUUGUACUUCAACAGUAAGUUUUUGUCUAUUGCAUUCUAUUUUAUGCUGCUGCAAGUUUUUCAGAGCUGCUGAUAUAUGUCGGUGCAUGACAUUAUAAGGCAUUUCUUAGUAAUUAAAGCUCUUUAG